AAUGAACGCUGGCGGCAUGCCUUACACAUGCAAGUCGAACGGCAGCAUGACCUAGCUUGCUAGGUUGAUGGCGAGUGGCGCACGGGUGAGUAAUGCAUCGGAACGUGCCUUUUAGUGGGGGAUAACGUAGCGAAAGUUACGCUAAUACCGCAUAUUCUCUGAGGAGGAAAGCAGGGGACCUUCGGGCCUUGCGCUAGAAGAGCGGCCGAUGUCGGAUUAGCUAGUUGGUGAGGUAAAGGCUCACCAAGGCAACGAUCCGUAGCGGGUCUGAGAGGAUGAUCGGCCAGACUGGGACUGAGACACGGUCCAGACUCCUACGGGAGGCAGCAGUGGGGAAUCUUGGGCAAUGGGCGCAAGCCUGACACAGCAAUGCCGCGUGAGUGAAGAAGGACUUCGGGUUGUAAAGCUCUGUUGUCAGGGAAGAAAAAACACGCACGAAAACAUGGAGUGGAUGACGGUACCGGAAUAAGAAGCAACGGCUAACUACGUG
rnacentral:rRNA from 1 species